rnacentral:rRNA from 1 species
AAUAGAUACCCGGGUAGUCCACGCCGUAAACGAUGAAUACUAGGUGUAGGGGUUGUCAUGACCCUCUGUGCCGCCGCUAACGCAUUAAGUAUUCCGCCUGGGGAGUACGGUCGCAAGAUUAAAACUCAAAGGAAUUGACGGGGGCCCGCACAAGCAGCGGAGCAUGUGGUUUAAUUCGAAGCAACGCGAGGAACCUUACCUAGACUUGACAUCUCCUGCAUUACCCUUAAUCGGGGAAGUUCCUUCGGGGACAGGAAGACAGGUGGUGCAUGGUUGUCGUCAGCUCGUGUCGUGAGAUGUUGGGUUAAGUCCCGCAACGAGCGCAACCCUUAUUGUUAGUUGCUACCAUUUAGUUGAGCACUCUAGCGAGACUGCCCGGGUUAACCGGGAGGAAGGUGGGGAUGACGUCAAAUCAUCAUGCCCCUUAUGUCUAGGGCUACACACGUGCUACAAUGGCAAGUACAAAGAGACGCAAUACCGCGAGGUGGAGCAAAACUCAAAAACCUUGUCUCAGUUCGGAUUGUAGGCUGAAACUCGCCUACA